GGGGUUGUGGCUCAGCGGUAGAGUGUGCGCUUAGUGCGUGUGAGGCCCUGGGUUUAAUCCUCAGCACCACA
rnacentral:tRNA from 1 species